GUGCUCACUUUAACAGCACAUAUAUUAAAAUUGGAACAAUAGAGAAAAAAGUAGCAUGGCCUAUGUGUAAGGAUGACAUUCAAAUUCAUGAAGCAUUCCAUAUCUUU